rnacentral:rRNA from 1 species
AGUGAACGCUGGCGGUAGGCCUAACACAUGCAAGUCGAACGGCAGCACAGUAAGAGCUUGCUCUUACGGGUGGCGAGUGGCGGACGGGUGAGGGAUACAUCCGAAUCUACUUUUUCGUGGGGGAUAACGUAGGGAAACUUACGCUAAUACCGCAUACGACCUACGGGUGAAAGCAGGGGAUCUUCGGACCUUGCGCGAUUGAAUGAGCCGAUGUCGGAUUAGCUAGUUGGCGGGGUAAAGGCCCACCAAGGCGACGAUCCGUAGCUGGUCUGAGAGGAUGAUCAGCCACACUGGAACUGAGACACGGUCCAGACUCCUACGGGAGGCAGCAGUGGGGAAUAUUGGACAAUGGGCGCAAGCCUGAUCCAGCCAUACCGCGUGGGUGAAGAAGGCCUUCGGGUUGUAAAGCCCUUUUGUUGGGAAAGAAAAGCAGCAGGUUAAUACCCCGCUGUUCUGACGGUACCCAAAGAAUAAGCACCGGCUAACUUCGUG